rnacentral:rRNA from 1 species
GAUGAACGCUGGCGGCGUGCCUAAUACAUGCAAGUCGAGCGAACGGACGAGAAGCUUGCUUCUCUGAUGUUAGCGGCGGACGGGUGAGUAACACGUGGAUAACCUACCUAUAAGAAUGGGAUCACUUCGGGAAACCGUAGCUAAUACCGGAUAAUAUUUUGAACCGCAUGGUUCAAAAGUGAAAGCCGGUCUUGCUGUCACUUAUAGAUGGAUCCGCUCUGCAUUAGCUAGUUGGUAAGGUAACGGCUUACUAAGGCAACGAUGCCUAGCCGACCUGAGAGGGUGAUCGGCCACACUGGAACUGAGACACGGCCCAGACUCCUACGGGAGGCAGCAGUGGGGAAUCUUCGGCAAUGGGCGAAAGCCUGACGGAGCAACGCCGCGUGAAUGAUGAAGGUCUUCGGAUCGUAAAACUCUGUUAUUAGGGAAGAACAUAUGUUUAAGUAACUGUGCAGGUCUUGACGGUACCUUAUCAGAAAGCCACGGCUAACUACGUG